rnacentral:tRNA from 1 species
GGUUGCAUAGUGUAGUGGUUAUCACUCCAGAUUUUGAUUCUGGUAACCCCAGUUCGAACCUGGGUGCGACCU